rnacentral:rRNA from 1 species
UACGUAGGAGGCAAGCGUUGUCCGGAAUUACUGGGCGUAAAGCGCGUGUAGGCGGCGGAGCAUGUCGGGUGUGAAAGCCCUCGGCUUAACCGAGGAAGUGCGCCCGAAACUGCUUUGCUGGAGUGCUGGAGAGGGUAGCGGAAUUCCCGGUGUAGAGGUGAAAUUCGUAGAUAUCGGGAGGAACACCAGUGGCGAAGGCGGCUACCUGGACAGACACUGACGCUGAGACGCGAAAGCGUGGGGAGCAAACAGG